CAGCCCAUGCCGCGUGUGUGAAGAAGGCCUUCGGGUUGUAAAGCACUUUCAGUCGUGAGGAAGGUGGUAGUGUUAAUAGCACUAUCAUUUGACGUUAGCGACAGAAGAAGCACCGGCUAACUCCGUGCCAGCAGCCGCGGUAAUACGGAGGGUGCGAGCGUUAAUCGGAAUUACUGGGCGUAAAGCGCAUGCAGGUGGUUUGUUAAGUCAGAUGUGAAAGCCCGGGGCUCAACCUCGGAAUAGCAUUUGAAACUGGCAGACUAGAGUACUGUAGAGGGGGGUAGAAUUUCAGGUGUAGCGGUGAAAUGCGUAGAGAUCUGAAGGAAUACCGGUGGCGAAGGCGGCCCCCUGGACAGAUACUGACACUCAGAUGCGAAAGCGUGGGGAGCAAACAGGAUUAGAUACCCUGGUAGUCCACGCCGUAAACGAUGUCUACUUGGAGGUUGUGGCCUUGAGCCGUGGCUUUCGGAGCUAACGCGUAAGUAGACCGCCUGG
rnacentral:rRNA from 1 species